rnacentral:tRNA from 1 species
AUUCCAUGUGGGAAUG